UAGUGUGAAUUUGCAGAAUUCCGCGAAUCAUCGAGUUUUUGAACGCAAGUUGCGCCCGAGGCUCGUCUGAGGGCAUGCCUGCCUGAGCGUCCGC
rnacentral:rRNA from 1 species